GACGAACGCUGGCGGCGUGCUUAACACAUGCAAGUCGAACGGAAAGGCCCUGCUUUUGUGGGGUGCUCGAGUGGCGAACGGGUGAGUAACACGUGAGUAACCUGCCCUUGACUUUGGGAUAACUUCAGGAAACUGGGGCUAAUACCGGAUAGGAGCUCCUGCUGCAUGGUGGGGGUUGGAAAGGUUCGGCGGUUGGGGCUGGACUCGCGGCUUAUCCGCUUGUUGGUGGGGUAGUGGCUUACCAAGGCUUUGACGGGUAGCCGGCCUGGGAGGGUGACCGGCCACAUUGGGACUGAGAUACGGCCCAGACUCCUACGGGAGGCAGCAGUGGGGAAUAUUGCACAAUGGGCGGAAGCCUGAUGCAGCAACGCCGCGUGCGGGAUGACGGCCUUCGGGUUGUAAACCGCUUUCGCCUGUGACGAAGCGUGAGUGACGGUAAUGGGUAAAGAAGCACCGGCUAACUACGUG
rnacentral:rRNA from 1 species